rnacentral:rRNA from 1 species
GGUUAAGUCCCGCAACGAGCGCAACCCCUACGUUUAGUUGCUAACGCGUGAAGGCGAGCACUCUAGACGAACUGCCGUUGACAAAACGGAGGAAGGUGGGGAUGACGUCAAAUCAUCAUGCCCCUUAUGUUCUGGGCUACACACGUGCUACAAUGGCCGGUACAGACGGAGGCGAAGCCGCGAGGCGGAGCAAAUCCGAAAAAGCCGGUCUCAGUUCGGAUUGCAGGCUGCAAUUCGCCUGCAUGAAGUCGGAAUCGCUAGUAAUCGCAGGUCAGCAUACUGCGGUCGAAUACGUUCCCGGGCCUU